rnacentral:lncRNA from 1 species
AUAUAUAUACUACUUAUAAAAGCGUGAGUUUUAAAUUUUUUUUCCUUUCCAAAAAUAUCUCUAUCUUUUUUACUAAUAUUUUCAUGUCGAGUAAUUUUCAACCAUUUAUUUGAAAUAAAUCUUCAAAUAAUAAUUUAUUCUCAAAUAUAGAUUUAAAUUUCUACCAUUGGAUAUCAUAAUAAAAGUAUCUGUCUCUUUUGUUGACGAAAAUACCCUACAUAUUCGUUAUCUCUUAUCUACGCGUUUCUCAAAUAUUUUCUUCCCCUACACAUCCGUUAUCUCCUAUUUACGCAUUUAUCAAAUAUUUUUUUCCUACCCACCAAUCAUGUAAUAGGUCAAAUUAAAUUUAUCUCAAAUCUAACGUAAUAUCUGCUAAUCAUAUAAUACAUAAAAUUAAAUUUAUCUCCUAUCUAACAUAAUACCCGCCAAUCAAAUCAUGUAAUAUGUAAAAUUAAAUUUAUCUCAUAUCCACCAUUUUUCUCAAAUAUUUUCUUUCUCAAACGUAAUACACGCCAAUCAUGCAGUACUCAAAAUUAAAUUUUAAAUUUCUAAUGGCCACCAAUUUGAUAAUUUACAUUUUAAUUCAUAAUAGUAAAUUUUCUUAUAUGAGAUAGUAGAUUUAAUUUUGAUGAGUAUUAAAAUUUGUCGCGCCAUAGAAACGUUAAAUAUUGCUAAAAAAAUUUUAAUACCCGCCCAAUCAAAACUAAAUCGUUAAUUAAAUAUAAUUUUUAAUAUCUAUACUACUUAUAAAAGCAUGAGUUUUAAAUUUUUUUCUCUUACCAAAAAUAUCUCUAUCUUUUUUACUAAUAUUUUAAUGUCCAGUAAUUUUUAACCAUUCAUUUUAAAUAAAUCUUCAAAUAAUAAUUUAUUCUCAAAUAUAGAUUUAAAUUUUUACUAUUGGAUCUCAUCCAACGAAAUAAAUCUUCAAAUAAUAAUUUAUUUUCAAAUAUAAAUUUAUAUUUUUACUAUUGGAUCUCAUCCAACGAAUAAAAAUAAAAGUAUCUGUCACUUUUGUUGACAAAAAUAUCCUACAUAUUCGUUAUCUCUUAUCUACGCGUUUCUCAAAUAUUUUCUUCCUAUCCGCCAAUCAUGUAAUACGUAAAAUUAAAUUUAUCUUAAAUCUAACGUAAUAUCUGCCAAUCAUAUCUCCUAUCUAGCAUAAUACCCGCCAAUCAUGUAAUAUGUAAAAUUAAAUUUAUCUUAUAGCCACGCGUUUUCUCAAAUAUUUUCUUUCUCAAAUGUAAUACUCGACAAUCACGUAGUACUCAAAAUUAAAUUUUAAAUUUGUAAUGCCUGCCAAUUUGAUAAUUUACAUUUUAAUUCAUAAU